GGUCUCGUGGCGCAACGGUAGCGCGUUCGACUCCAGAUCGAAAGCUUAUCCGUUCAAAUCGGGUCGGGGUCA
rnacentral:tRNA from 1 species